rnacentral:rRNA from 1 species
AGCAGUCGCCGCGGUAAUACGUAGGGUGCGAGCGUUAAUCGGAAUUACUGGGCGUAAAGCGUGCGCAGGCGGUUCGUUAAGACAGAUGUGAAAUCCCCGGGCUUAACCUGGGAACUGCAUUUGUGACUGGCGAGCUAGAGUAUGGCAGAGGGGGGUAGAAUUCCACGUGUAGCAGUGAAAUGCGUAGAGAUGUGGAGGAAUACCGAUGGCGAAGGCAGCCCCCUGGGCCAAUACUGACGCUCAUGCACGAAAGCGUGGGGAGCAAACAGGAUUAGAUACCCGCGUAGUCCCUGUCUCUUAUAA